AUUGAACGCUGGCGGCAUGCCUUACACAUGCAAGUCGAACGGUAACAGGUUAAGCUGACGAGUGGCGAACGGGUGAGUAAUACAUCGGAACGUGCCCAGUAGUGGGGGAUAGCCCGGCGAAAGCUGGAUUAAUACCGCAUACGACCUAAGGGUGAAAGGGGGGGCUCGCAAGACCUCUCGCUAUUUGAGCGGCCGAUGUCAGAUUAGCUAGUUGGUGGGGUAAAAGCUCACCAAGGCGAUGAUCUGUAGCUGGUCUGAGAGGACGACCAGCCACACUGGGACUGAGACACGGCCCAGACUCCUACGGGAGGCAGCAGUGGGGAAUUUUGGACAAUGGGCGCAAGCCUGAUCCAGCCAUGCCGCGUGCGGGAAGAAGGCCUUCGGGUUGUAAACCGCUUUUGUCAGGGAAGAAAUCCUUUGGGUUAAUACCUCGGGGGGAUGACGGUACCUGAAGAAUAAGCACCGGCUAACUACGUG
rnacentral:rRNA from 1 species